rnacentral:rRNA from 1 species
UACAGGGGGGGCAAGCGUUGUUCGGAAUUACUGGGCGUAAAGGGUCUGUAGGUGGCCAACUAAGUCAGACGUGAAAUCCCUCAGCUUAACUGGGGAACUGCGUCUGAUACUGGAUGGCUCGAGUGUGGGAGAGGAAUGCGGAAUUCCAGGUGUAGCGGUGAAAUGCGUAGAUAUCUGGAGGAACACCGGUGGCGAAGGCGGCAUUCUGGACCAUAACUGACACUGAGAGACGAAAGCCAGGGGAGCAAACGGG